AAACCACAGACCUCCUUUCUGGAAACAUCUGGGUCGGGACUCCCCACCGAGGGGUCAUAGACCCUCACUUCCAGGGUGUGCCCUGACCUCAGCAUGACUGGGGCUGGGGCAUAUCCUGGAGCCCCAGAUAGGAACCCAACCAGAGUGACCGCGGCAAGCAGGGCAGUGGGUCCCAUGGAAAACUCCGCCUCCGCUUCCCGUUGCUUGGCCACCUGUCCUCAAUGCCGGGCACCCCACUAGGCCUCCGGGCUGGGCAACAACGGCCAGAGGGAUGGUCACUAAACCCGUUUCCUCGCUCUGGACACAUGGCUAAGCAACAUUUUCACCCCCUCGCUGCAGGCGGGGGCCACAGGACUGGCUCCAGUCAGCGCAAUGUAGGUCGAGGUGACGUCACCUCUGUGCCAUCCUCUGCUCAUCACUAGCAGUGGGGAGGCCGAGGCUCCGGGAAACCGGACCCCGAGUCACCUUGUGGAAGACCCACUGAGCACCCCGUUGGACCCGAUUGAAGGAGAAUGCGCUUCGGCUGCAUCACGCCACUGAAGACGCAGGGUUACUUGUGACAGCCGCUGACCUCACCCACCCUGCCCAGCACACCGCACCUCGACAAGGCCAAGGCCAAGAAUUGACCUCCUGGAGCUCAUCACGUUCUCAGCGUGAGACUGGAAGCGGAAGCCGAGAGGCAGGAGGUGAAAAUGCCUGGUGCAGAGCGGCUGCUCCAAAGUGGAACCCUGGCAGACGAAAGGACACACAAAACGUGGUCGGACCACUCCAUGGACUAUUCCUCGGCGAGAGAGGAAUGAGGCACUGACACCCCCUGCAACGCAGUAGACCCUGACGACGCUGCUGAGUGAAAGCAGCCAGACACCAAAGGCCGCAGUGUGUGAGCCCCCCAGCCUGUGAGCCAGAGGCUGAACCAGUUGAGGGACAAAGACCAGCCCGGCCUGGGUUCCUCAUCGGGCGACUGCCCCAGGACCUUGCCAUGUCCUUCACCAGCAAACGGUGGGUGCCUCCUGCAGAUGCUGACAGCUCCACCCUCCCCACCUCCAAGAUUUGCUGGGGCUGAAAUGCCCCCCACCCCCAGAUUCCAAUGACCCAGCACAAAUGCCGCCUCUCCCAGGAAGCCUGCCUGGACCCCAUGGAAGAAAACAUCCCACUCGCUGAUCAUACGAACUCGUCUGACUUUAAACUUCCCAAGAGCUGCCCACGAUGACUGUUGCAGCUCCGACCGGCCCACUCUUAAUUUAUUUUCACAGUCCCCAGUCCUCCGGGCCAGCCGCACUACAAUAACCUAUUGUUAACAUGGAAGUCUCCCCAUGUGGGAACGGACAUUUGGAAGACCAUCCUUUGAACGGACACCAGGCUCACCAAGUCCUUGAUUCAGUAACACGGACUGCGGCAGCAAUUUGAGGGGAGAUGAGGCACCAGCCGGGCACAAAGACACAGACACCCCCUUUUUAUUUGUCACAGCUGAGUUGUCAUACAUUCCCUCGAAUAAAUGUUCCCAUCUGG
rnacentral:lncRNA from 1 species